rnacentral:rRNA from 1 species
AGUGAACGCUGGCGGCAGGCCUAAUACAUGCAAGUCGAACGGCAGCACAGCAGAGCUUGCUCUGUGGGUGGCGAGUGGCGGACGGGUGAGGAAUACAUGGGAAUCUGCCCAGUCGUGGGGGAUAACGUAUGGAAACGUACGCUAAUACCGCAUGCGCCCUACGGGGGAAAGUCGGGGACCGCAAGGCCUGGCGCGAUUGGAUGAGCCCAUGUUCGAUUAGCUAGUUGGCGGGGUAAAGGCCCACCAAGGCGACGAUCGAUAGCUGGUCUGAGAGGAUGAUCAGCCACACUGGAACUGAGACACGGUCCAGACUCCUACGGGAGGCAGCAGUAGGGAAUAUUGGACAAUGGGGGCAACCCUGAUCCAGCCAUGCCGCGUGAGUGAAGAAGGCCCUCGGGUUGUAAAGCUCUUUUGUCCGGAAAGAAAAGCAAUCGGUUAAUACCCGGUUGUUCUGACGGUACCGGAAGAAUAAGCACCGGCUAACUUCG